GCCCAACAUAAAGAUCCUCGAAUCGAGAGCACAGGAGAAUUAUCUUGACUUACAUAUUUCUUCAAAAUCAAAUGGACUCUCCAUUUCCAAUUUUAAAAGCACGGUCCCAAAAGGCUUCAUUAUUAGAACUCACAUCUUUCCAAAUGGGUGAAAAGCCCGAUGUUGACUUCUUCACUCUCAUCCCUAGCUUUCUCCUUGAAU
rnacentral:lncRNA from 1 species